rnacentral:rRNA from 1 species
ACGAACGCUGGCGGCGUGCCUAAUCCCUGCAAGUAGCACGCUGAAGGAGGAGCUUGCUCUUCUGGAUGAGUUGCGAACGGGUGAGUAACGCGUAGGUAACCUGCCUGGUAGCGGGGGAUAACUAUUGGAAACGAUAGCUAAUACCGCAUAACAGUAGAUGUUGCAUGACAUUUACUUAAAAGGUGCAAUUGCAUCACUACCAGAUGGACCUGCGUUGUAUUAGCUAGUUGGUGGGGUAACGGCUCACCAAGGCGACGAUACAUAGCCGACCUGAGAGGGUGAUCGGCCACACUGGGACUGAGACACGGCCCAGACUCCUACGGGAGGCAGCAGUAGGGAAUCUUCGGCAAUGGACGGAAGUCUGACCGAGCAACGCCGCGGGAGUGAAGAAGGUUUUCGGAUCGUAAAGCUCUGUUGUAAGAGAAGAACGAGUGUGAGAGUGGAAAGUUCACACUGUGACGGUAUCUUACCAGAAAGAGACGGCUAACUACGUG